AUGAACGUUACCCUCAUGUUGCGUUGGGUCUGGCGGAUCUUGCGGGGAGAGGGUGAUCUAUGGCUACAGCUUCUCCAGGCGAAAUAUCUUAGAGGCGAUCCACUCCUGGCUUGUUCUCGCCCAGAUGGCUCCCAGUUCUGGAAAUCCAUCCAGAAGAUCAAGGCGGAGAUCCAUCUUGGGGUCUUUUUCUCUAUAUGUAAUGGAGAAGGGGCCCAAUUCACGCUGCAUCCAUGGGUUGGGAGCGUGGCUCUUCGGGUGGAUUUCCCAAGCCUAUUUUCUUGCAUUGACCCGAGGAUCCUAGUUUCCGAAGCCUUCCAAAAUGGGCAGUGGAACAUCUUGUUCUGUCGCACAUUUGGGCAGGUGGAAAUUGUUGAGUGAGCUAGAUUGCGGGCAGCCCCCCAUCCCCGCCGGUGUUGA
rnacentral:rRNA from 1 species